UACGUAGGCAGCAAGCGUUGUUCGGAAUUACUGGGCGUAAAGCGUGUGUAGGCGGUUCUCUAAGUUCGGUGUGAAAUCUCCCGGCUCAACUGGGAGGGUGCGCCGGAAACUGGAGUGCUGGAGCGCGGGAGAGGAAAGCGGAAUUCCUGGUGUAGCGGUGAAAUGCGUAGAUAUCAGGAGGAACACCGGCGGUGUAGACGGCUUUCUGGACCGUAGCUGACGCUGAGACACGAAAGCGUGGGUAGCAAACAGG
rnacentral:rRNA from 1 species